CACAUUGAAACACUGGUUCUCAUACAAUCACUGAAGUUAAGCAAUGUCGAGCAAGGUCAGUACCUAGAUGGGUGACCGAUUGGGAAUAAUAGGUGCU